GUUCUUUUUUUUGUGUUUUCUUUUAGUUACACAUUAUUUUUUUUCCAGUAAAAUAUAACAAUAGCCCCUAAAAUAAUGUUUCAGAAUAACCCACUGCCAUAAAAAGUUUUACCCCGAAUUAAAAUAGUUUAGCAAUUUAUAAAAUACCAAAGGAAUUUAUAUAACUGUUUUUGCUACGGUUUAAAUCGUUUUAGAGUAUUUAUAAAGUCUAUUAAUAACCCUGUGUGAGGAAUAAGUAAUUCCUCACCCGAGUCGAUCGACCGAGAGAGAUGGUCCGGCUGUAAAAUUAUGUUUGCCCACUGUAAAAUUAUGUCGAUGGAAACGGUUGGGCUUUGGCUGGUCGCUAGGAGCUAGCCCACUCACCCCGUACAUGAACAGGUGCGAGCGGUUUUCACGGGCUCGGGCAGGUGUUCCUCUAUCCCGACCCUCCCCUCUCUGGCUGGCAAUGGCGGAGGCGACGACAGCGGGGGCACCGGAGGGACCAACCGGAGGCGAGACCUACUCCCAUCUCUCGCGCAUGAAGUAGUCCACUUUGCGCCUCUGAUCGGUAGCGAACCGAGGCGACAUAGGCAGUGCAACGAUCCGACGCGAUCUGGGCGGCGACAAUGGCCUUCUCCGGCGUCGCCCUCCAUCGUCGUCUUUCUUCUCGCCGGUUGAUGAUGGAGACUGGCGCUCGGAGGUGGGAUCAAUUCAAGGAGGAGGUGGAUGUCAUGCUGUAGGAGGAGAAGAAGGCUGCGGAGAAGGAACAACAGUACAGUAUCUUCUUAGAUCCAGCCAAAGGCGAUGGCCCUGUUUCUACUCUGUUAUAGAUAAACUGUCCAUUUUUUUCUUCAUUGGAGCUCCACCGUUUUGAAAUAACUAGACUGUCACAUAGUAUUGAGAAAUACCAUGUUCAGCCAUUUACUUAGAAUGGAGCUGGGAUGCUGCUACUGUAUGACAAUGGUCAUCCCAUCAUUGUAAAUAUGCUCUAUUGCAGAAGGCACAUAAAGAACUCGGAAAGGGUAAAGUACAAGUAAAUGUGAAAAAACAAGCCUCGCAGCGAAAAAUCAUGCCCCAAAAAGAAGCACAAAACAUUCGUGCCCAAGUAACUGUAAUCUUAAUGCACAAUGUCACCGGCUUGUUGAUAGGGAGUGUAAUGUCUAGUUAGUUUUUGAGUUAGUUGAGCCACUGCCAUCUGGGGCAAUCAUAUUCUGAACAUAUCGAGAUUUACACCUAUCGAUUAGCUAAUCUUACUAAAGAACACAAAUGUGCCUUUUCUUAAACUUGAAUCGUCCUGGUAAAAGUACGGAUUUUCACUUGACCUGUGGCUGUCUAUAUGUCGAAGGCUUCUGAAUUUCUCUAGGCGUAGAAUUGAACAAUAGUGAGACAUUGUAGGCACAGGCCUGAAUAAUAGUGAGACAUGGUAUCAACUAGCGAAAAGUGCAAGAUGCAGGAUCAGCUUUUAUUUUUCCAGUUCAUGGUACAUUUGUUGCUCUUUGUCACCUCUUUGAAAGCACUGCAUACACCUGCAGUACAGUAAACUUUCUCAGGGUUGGUUCUCAUAUUUUCACACUGAGCUUAGGCUAACGCUAGAUGGCUAAGCACCUAUUUAUUUCUAGUUUUGAUCCGUUGAUACAUGGUGAAAUGAACAGAACGAUAUAGCUGGGCGUGCUCCUAUUUUAUGUCUAUGUAAAGAAGCAAUGCAAUCUAUAUCGGAUGCAAGUUUGGAAAUGUAUUAUUUGUACAUGCUCCUAUUUUAUGUUGGCCCCACAUCUCGUAACUCUCAAAUUUCUUACAUCGGCUGGCGAAUGUGGGCUAACUCUGAACUGCUAGAUUUUUAUAUGUGGUUGGUUGGACACCUUAUGUUGGCGGACACUGACCUUCUCCCAGCCUGUCAAUAUUCACGGAAGCUAAGUUUGAUUUAUUUCUAUUGCCAAGAGGUGGACACUGAUUCUCAUCCAGCCUGUCAAUCUUCACUAAUAUUUUGGUUUAACCUGCUCUCAAUGCAAGAGUAAUCAUGUAUAACAGGGAAAUGCGAUUUUUCCUUCAGGUUAUUGCUUGUUUGUUUUUUGUAGCAUACACCAGAUGGGAAUGUGCUAUUUUUGAUGAGUAAAUGCGAUUCUAACUAUGCUCCAUCAAUUUUUUUUCCGUAGCCAUGGAUACGUAAAGAAAAUCAGCACCAUUAUUUUUGUUUGAAAUUCCUAUGUACUGUAAGACUUUGAUUUCGUUCACAUUUGACCUAUUUUCCUAUCUUGCAGAGCCAUCCAUUCAAAUAUGGUUAAUAUCUUCUACCCUGUAUUUACUGUACCACUAGAAUAGAGACGUGCAUUUAUUUUAGUCGAUCAAUUUUUCUGCUGUAGCAAUACUUUCUGUUGUCAUCCUGGUUGUGCUCCAAUUCACUAUUUCCAUGAAUUAAUGUUAGGUACUCCGUCAGCAUGUUCACAUCAUGUGCUAGCCUGCUUUUAAAGGUCUAUUCAAGUGGAUGACGACAACUGUAUGAGGGUAGAGAGGAAUGAGUUUUCUGGAACACGUCUUCGUAUUUUAGUGUAUGGUGGGUACAGAACGGAGACAGUUUCCUACUUCAGGCUGUAAUCUUACCUCAAGUGCCUUUGUUUUCUUACGUUUUGAAGAAAUCGAGGUGACGUGGCAUCACUAAUAAAGGAUUACUGUAGCUUAAUUAUCCUGGCAUCACAAUGACCCACUAGUUAUUGCAGUCUGAACUUGGGCAACUCGCAUGACAAACAGAAAGGAGCACCGAACGACAAAUAUGGAGAUAGCAACGGGAGAGAAUCUUGGCCAAGUCAUUCGUGGAGGAGUUAGAGAGCAGUCGGAGGCGACGCAGUCAAGGCGGAAUCGGAUGAGCCGUCAGAGGCAAAGCGGCCUGACGGUCGUGUGACUCGUGUCAGACCCAGAGAGUCGAUGGUGGCGAGCUGUCCAAUCGCCGCACCCUACAAUGAGCAGAAGAUAGAUCUUUUUUAUGAAGGAGAGAGGAUUUGGCCGUUGAUCUUUUUUUCUUUUAGAGGAAGAGAAGGGCAGGUGUGUGUACACGACUGGAAUCCUCCACCUCCUUUCCAAUGAGCCGCCCAUUCACGCGAGCGCAGCAAGCAUAGGAAGGCGAUCUAUGUGGGGCUGAAGCUGCGGUCACCAGAAUGCAACGUCCAAACGGAGGCUUUUGAAGGAAGGGUUAUAUACUGCAAUUUGGAGGAAGCUGAGCGGCAUGAGGGAGGUGAAAGGGAAGGGUGUAAUGGCGCCGCUGACCAGCGGAGAUGAAACAGCAGUGGAAUAUUAAUGGAGAAGGAGAUGAACGAUUGGUAAGGAAAACAUAAUCUGUGUGCUGAUUAAAACAAUGAUCUUAAAGACAUGGAGCUUGCACGUAGUGGGCCAAGUGAUUUUACUAAUGGAAACAGAAAGCAUGGCGCUGGGGUUCUCCGUGUCUUACCAGGGGCAUGGGGUGUGGGGAAUGACUGGGAUAUAUUUUGUUUUUUUCUUUCAAGGAAAAUGACCUCAGGAGGUGGGAUUGCAUAAGGUGUGACGUGGCUUGGUGUGAUUGAAUGUUGAGGUGUCUAUGCUGUAUGUUGAGAUAAAUCAAGUAGUAAGAGUGAACUUUUUUUUGCGUAAAUGGGGGUGAACUUCUUAAAUAUAUAUGAUUCUUGUAAUACUCUCACUUAUAGUUAAGCAUGUCCAUACAAGCAUAAA